GUACGUUUUCACCCUCGGGUGACAGGGAGACAGGUGGUGCAUGGUUGUCGUCAGCUCGUGUCGUGAGAUGUUGGGUUAAGUCCCGCAACGAGCGCAACCCUACGUUUAGUUGCUAACAGGUGAAGCUGAGCACUCUAGACGAACUGCCGUUGACAAAACGGAGGAAGGUGGGGAUGACGUCAAAUCAUCAUGCCCCUUAUGUUCUGGGCUACACACGUGCUACAAUGGCCGGUACAGACGGAGGCGAAGCCGCGAGGCGGAGCAAAUCCGAAAAAGCCGGUCUCAGUUCGGAUUGCAGGCUGCAAUUCGCCUGCAUGAAGUCGGAAUCGCUAGUAAUCGCAGGUCAGCAUACUGCGGUGAAUACGUUCCCGGGCCUU
rnacentral:rRNA from 1 species